rnacentral:rRNA from 1 species
UACAGAGGGGGCAAGCGUUGUUCGGAAUUAUUGGGCGUAAAGGGCUCGUAGGCGGUCUGUCGCGUCGGGAGUGAAAACUCGGGGCUUAACUCCGAGCCUGCUUCUGAUACGGGCAGACUAGAGGUAUGCAGGGGAGAAUGGAAUUCCUGGUGUAGCGGUGAAAUGCGCAGAUAUCAGGAGGAACACCGGUGGCGAAGGCGGUUCUCUGGGCAUGACCUGACGCUGAGGAGCGAAAGUGUGGGGAGCGAACAGG